CUUUUUUAGCGCCAUCUGCUCGCGGCGCCGCCUCCUGCUCCACCCGCUGCCGCUGCCGCCCUGAGUCACUGCCUGCGCAGCUCCGGCCGCCUGGCUCCCCAUACUAGCCGCCGCCUGCCUAGGGUAGUUAAAAGACGAGUGAAUGCUCUCAAAAACCUGCAAGUUAAAUGUGCACAGAUAGAAGCCAAAUUCUAUGAGGAAGUUCACGAUCUUGAAAGGAAGUAUGCUGUUCUCUAUCAGCCUCUAUUUGAUAAGCGAUUUGAAAUUAUUAAUGCAAUUUAUGAACCUACGGAAGAAGAAUGUGAAUGGAAACCAGAUGAAGAAGAUGAGAUUUCGGUUAGUACCAACUUUAUUUUAGUAUGUUUUUUAGAUGAUAAAAUCUUAGGACUUGUCAGAAAUGUUAGCAUUUAAUGAUGGAGUACAAUAUUAUAUAACCAGUUGUAUUUUUUUCACUUUUUCAUUUUACAUCUUUAUUACACAUUUUUCUAAUAAUUUAUUUUUAAAAAACAGUCAUUCAAGAUUGUAAUUUGCAUGGCAAU
rnacentral:sRNA from 1 species